rnacentral:rRNA from 1 species
CUCCCUGAGACUUUAAGUCUCCUGAAGGAACGUUAAAGACGAUGACGUUGAUAGGCCGGGUGUGUAAGCGCAGCGAUGCGUUGAGCUAACCGGUACUAAUGAACCGUGAGGCUUAACCUUACAACGCCGAAG